AGCUUAGUUUCAUAUUCACUAUCAUUAUCAUGGCAGCCACUAGUUAGUAUUCAUCUUUAUUUAUCUCUACAUUAUUCUUCCAUAAUAUUGUGUUGGUUAAUAUGUAUAUAUGCACAUCUUUCAUACAAAUAUUGUGUGUUUUAUUAUAUGAUGUUUAAAUGUGGAUUUUUAUUAUUAUGUCGAUGAUUAGUUGAUUAUUUAUGAUUGUGAAAUAUUUCAGUUAAUGUGCCUGGGUUUUCAAAGAAACAAGUUACAGCUACACCAGAUAUUGAUCAUGUAAUCUCAGGACUCAAAAGGAGAGUGCUCCCACAGUUUAAUACUUGUCUCAGAUCGUGUACGUCAGAUAGCGAUUGCAGUGAUUGUUGGAUUUGUUGUGCUUGUGGGCACAAUGCCAUAUAUCCCAAUCAAUUGGUGUGUUCAUCGAAUUUUUAGUAGUGGCAGUGACAAAUUACUAUUAUGCAUUAGUGUGUCUUUGUGUAAUUUCAAUGUUUGUUUGUCUUUUCUUAUUUACUUGUCUUUUAUGCUUUGAAAAAUAAUAAUAAUAAUUGGAUUUGCUAGCUUGUAUCAAAGCUAAGCAUGUCAUUUUCCUUUCCGUUCCCUUUUAUAAGUUGAUAGCUUUAGUUUGGCAAUAUUAUAGAACAUGGAAACAUUAAGAGUA
rnacentral:lncRNA from 1 species